rnacentral:rRNA from 1 species
AACGAACGCUGGCGGCAGGCUUAACACAUGCAAGUCGAGCGCCCCGCAAGGGGAGCGGCAGACGGGUGAGUAACGCGUGGGGAUCUACCCAUCUCUACGGAAUAACGCAUGGAAACGUGUGCUAAUACCGUAUACGUCCUUCGGGAGAAAGAUUUAUCGGAGAUGGAUGAGCCCGCGUUGGAUUAGCUAGUUGGUGGGUAAAGGCCUACCAAGGCGACGAUCCAUAGCUGGUCUGAGAGGAUGAUCAGCCACACUGGGACUGAGACACGGCCCAGACUCCUACGGGAGGCAGCAGUGGGGAAUAUUGGACAAUGGGCGCAAGCCUGAUCCAGCCAUGCCGCGUGAGUGAUGAAGGCCCUAGGGUUGUAAAGCUCUUUCACCGGUGAAGAUAAUGACGGUAACCGGAGAAGAAGCCCCGGCUAACUCCGUGCCAGCCGCCGCGGUAAAAC